AAUCCAAAUACAGUCCUUUUGGCAAUUGAAGUUGCACGGAUAAUGUUUCUUUUGUUGACGUAAACCAUGGGAACUUCAGUUGCAUGAUCUCAUUAACUGAUUACAGCUGUGACUUUGAAGUAAUCUCUCAGAAUGAGCACUUUUAGAAGAGUUGUUACUCACGGGCCAAGUCCAGGAUUGUGGAAGAAGAUUUGCAGAGGGCAUCAGGAAAGAUGGCUGAAUGUUUUCUCCAUUUUCUGAUGGCCAAAAGGAAUACAGGAACCACAGUACCUAGCACAGAACAGGGCUGUGAAAUCCUGGAAUUGAUAUGGAGGACCUGGAAUCCCAAGGCUGAGAGGUCAGUUUCCAUUGGCAACGCAGUAAGGAAACAAUGCCUUUUAGCGUGUUACUGUAAAGGGUGAGAUAUUCUUUUAGAAGAUUAGCAAUAGCUUGCACCAUAAACUAGAUGUAAUGUAGGAAUUCCUGUCAUGCCUGAGCGAAACAAAUCUGACAAGCAUCCAUGAGGACCCAGGUUCGAUCCCUGGCCUCACUUAGUGGGUUAAGGAUCUGCCGUUGUCAUGAGCUGUGAUGUAGUUCGCAAUCACGGCUUGGAUCCUGCAUUGCUGUGGCCGUGGUGUAGGCCAGCGACUUCAGUUCCAAUUCGACCCCUACCCUGGGAACCUCCAUAUGCCGUGGAUGUCUAAAAAGACAAAAACAAAAACAAACUGGAUGUAAUAUAACUCAGUAGAAGGCAGGAUGUGAGACUAGAGAGGUUAAUGGGACUAGAUCAAUGGAGAGCCUUGCCUUCCUUGUUAAGGGGUUCAUAUUUUAUCCCAUUGGUCAUGGGAAGUUCUAAUCAAGGACAUAUUCAUUGUCAGCCAUCUAAUUGAAGUGGGAGGAGAUAUUUGAAGAGAACUUUCUGUGAGGAAGUGAAAGCAGUGGAGAAAGAGAACUCUCUAGUGAGCAGUGAUUUCAGGUUUAGAGAUUUUGAAAAUAGAGCCCUUCGGAGUUAUCACAAGAGUUGUAUGGCUGCCUUAGAACUGAAGAGGAAUAAAAUGAAUUUAAAUAUAAGCCGAGACA
ensembl:lncRNA